rnacentral:pre_miRNA from 1 species
CUGGAUGUUCCUCUGAGUCAUACUCCGGGUGAUAUGACUAGAGACACAUUCAGCU